AACAUCGCCUCCUGCAAAAAUCAAUGUAUAGGAGGUCCUGCCUGCCCAGUGACAACUUGUUAAACGGCCGCGGUAUUUUGACCGUGCUAAGGUAGCGCAAUCACUUGUCUUUUAAAUGAAGACCUGUAUGAAUGGUGGAACGAGGGCUUAACUGUCUCCCUUCUCCCGUCAAUGAAAUUGAUCUGCCCGUGCAGAAGCGGGCAUAUACAUACAAGACGAGAAGACCCUUUGGAGCUUAUUGGGGCGACCGCGGGGGAAAACAAAGCCCCCACGUAAAACCGAGAGAGACAUCUCUAAGCCACAGAACAUCUGACCAAAAGAUCCGGCCCACAAGCCGAUCAACGAACCAAGUUACCCUAGGGAUAACAGCGCAAUCCUUUCCAAGAGUUCAUAUCGACGAGAGGGUUUACGACCUCGAUGUUGGAUCAGGACAUCCUAAUGGUGCAGCCGCUAUUAAGGGUUCGUUUGUUCAACGAUUAAAGUCCUACGUGAUCU
rnacentral:rRNA from 1 species